rnacentral:rRNA from 1 species
GACGAACGCUGGCGGCGUGCCUAAUACAUGCAAGUAGAACGCAAAGUUUAUACCGUAGCUUGCUACACCAUAGACUGUGAGUUGCGUAAGGGUGAGUUACGCGUAGGUAACCUGCCUGGUAGCGGGGGAUAACUAUUGGAAACGAUAGCUAAUACCGCAUAAUAUUAAUUAUUGCAUGGUAAUUAAUUGAAAGGUGCAAUUGCACCACUACCAGAUGGCCCUGCGUUGUAUUAGCUAGUAGGCGAGGUAACGGCUCACCUAGGCGACGAUACAUAGCCGAACGGCGAUGAUGGGCAGCCACACUGGGAGUGAGACACGGCCCAGACGCAUACGGGAAGCAGCAGUAGGGAUACGGCAGCAAUGGGCGAAAGUCUGACCGAGCAACGCCGCGUGAGUGUAGAAGGUUUUCGGGUCGUGAAGCUCUGUUGUAGGGGAAGAACGGGUGUGAGAGUGGAAAGUACACACAGUGACGGUAUCUUACCAGAAAGGAACGGCUAACUACGUG